rnacentral:rRNA from 1 species
GACGAACGCUGGGGGCGUGCUUAACACGUGCAAGUCGAACGGAAAGGCCCUGCUUUUGUGGGGUGCUCGAGUGGCGAACGGGUGAGUAACACGUGAGUAACCUGCCCUUGACUUUGGGAUAACUUCAGGAAACUGGGGCUAAUACCGGAUAGGAGCUCCUGCUGCAUGGUGGGGGUUGGAAAGUUUCGGCGGUUGGGGAUGGACUCGCGGCUUAUCAGCUUGUUGGUGGGGUAGUGGCUUACCAAGGCUUUGACGGGUAGCCGGCCUGAGAGGGUGACCGGCCACAUUGGGACUGAGAUACGGCCCAGACUCCUACGGGAGGCAGCAGUGGGGAAUAUUGCACAAUGGGCGGAAGCCUGAUGCAGCAACGCCGCGUGCGGGAUGACGGCCUUCGGGUUGUAAACCGCUUUCGCCUGUGACGAAGCGUGAGUGACGGUAAUGGGUAAAGAAGCACCGGCUAACUACGUG